UACGUAGGGUGCGAGCGUUGUCCGGAAUUAUUGGGCCUAAAGCAUCCGUAGCCUGUUCUGCAAGUCCUCCGUUAAAUCCACCUGCUCAACGGAUGGGCUGCGGAGGAUACCGCAGAGCUAGGAGGCGGGAGAGGCAAACGGUACUCAGUGGGUAGGGGUAAAAUCCAUUGAUCUACUGAAGACCACCAGUGGCGAAGGCGGUUUGCCAGAACGCGCUCGACGGUGAGGGAUGAAAGCUGGGGGAGCAAACCGGG
rnacentral:rRNA from 1 species